rnacentral:rRNA from 1 species
UGGGGAAUAUUGCACAAUGGGCGCAAGCCUGAUGCAGCCAUGCCGCGUGUGUGAAGAAGGCCUUCGGGUUGUAAAGCACUUUCAGCGAGGAGGAAGGUGGUGAGCUUAAUACGCUCAUCAAUUGACGUUACUCGCAGAAGAAGCACCGGCUAACUCCGUGCCAGCAGCCGCGGUAAUACGGAGGGUGCAAGCGUUAAUCGGAAUUACUGGGCGUAAAGCGCACGCAGGCGGUUUGUUAAGUCAGAUGUGAAAAUCCCCGGGCUCAACCUGGGAACUGCAUUUGAAAACUGGCAAGCUAGAGUCUCGUAGAGGGGGGUAGAAAUUCCAGGUGUAGCGGUGAAAUGCGUAGAGAUCUGGAGGAAUACCGGUGGCGAAGGCGGCCCCCUGGACGAAGACUGACGCUCAGGUGCGAAAAGCGUGGGGAGCAAAACAGGAUUAGAUACCCUGGUAGUCCACGCUGUAAAACGAUGUCGAUUUUGGAGGUUGUGCCCUUGAGGCGUGGCUUCCGGAGCUAACGCGUUAAAUCGACCGCCUGGGGAGUACGGCCGCAAGGUUAAAAACUCAAAAGGAAUUGACGGGGUCAUAGCUGUUUCCU